AACGCACAUUGCGCCCUUUGGCAUUCCGGAGGGCAUGCCUGUUUGAGAACCCUGACGUACCUCGCUACCCCCCACAUCUUUCUUGCUCACGCGAGACUGCGCGGGGUGAAUGCGGAUUUGGGCCCUUCCUCUCAAAACCUCUUGGGGUGUGGGGUGGCCAGAAAUCAAAGAUCGGCCUUUCGGCGGGAGUCCAGCCUUCCACCUCUGUCCAUAACCAAGACGUGUUAGUAUGGGAAACCAUUACGGCGUCGAUGACCUUGGAAAGUGGAAUCUUUAGCGCUGACGCUCGCCCACUGGACGACUCAACCAUCAACCAGUCAGGCGCUCUGUCCUUUGGAUAGGGUGUAGACCUGAACAACAACCGGUCUCAAAUCAGGCAAGACCACCCGCUGAACUUAA
rnacentral:misc_RNA from 1 species